AUAUAUCAUUUUCUGACUAGCGUCACUGUGUCCACGUUUGGACACGUGUUGGCUAACGUUCUAUCAAAAUAUCUGUUAAAAUACGAAUAUAAAUGAUAUAUUGAUGUUUUAAGUUAAUUUAAUGGUGUAAA